AGAGUUUGAUCCUGGCUCAGAAUCAACGCUGGCGGCGCGCUUAACACAUGCAAGUCGCACGAGAAAGGGGCAACCUGAGUAAAGUGGCGUACGGGUGAGUAACACGUGGGUAUCUACCUCUGAGUGGGGAAUAACUCUGGGAAACCGGAGCUAAUACCGCAUAAGCCUGAUAAGGGAAAGCAGCAAUGCGCUCGGAGAGGAGCCCGCGGUCGAUUAGCUUGUUGGUGAGGUAACGGCUCACCAAGGCUGUGAUCGAUAGCCGGCCUGAGAGGGCACACGGCCACACUGGCACUGAAACACGGGCCAGACUCCUACGGGAGGCAGCAGUGGGGAAUCUUGCACAAUGGGGGAAACCCUGAUGCAGCGACGCCGCGUGGGUGAUGAAGUCCUUCGGGAUGUAAAGCCCUUUCGACGGGAACGAUAAUGACGGUACCCGGAGAAGAAGCUGCGGCUAACUACGUGCCAGCCGCCGCGGUAAUUC
rnacentral:rRNA from 1 species